CACCGCGGUUAUACGAGGGGCCCAAGUUGACAGAAAACGGCGUAAAGCGUGGUUAAGGAAAAACUUAAACUAAAGCCGAAUGACUUCAGAGCAGUUCAAAGCAUCCGAAAACACGAAGCCCACCCACGAAAGUGGCUUUACUACCCCUGACUCCACGAAAGCUAUGGCA
rnacentral:rRNA from 1 species